rnacentral:rRNA from 1 species
AUUGAACGCUGGCGGCAGGCUUAACACAUGCAAGUCGAGCGGUAACAGAGAGAAGCUUGCUUCUCUGCUGACGAGCGGCGGACGGGUGAGUAAUGCCUAGGAAUCUGCCUAGUAGUGGGGGAUAACUUGCCGAAAGGUAAGCUAAUACCGCAUACGUCCUGCGGGAGAAAGGAGGGGACCUUCGGGCCUUUCGCUAUUAGAUGAGCCUAGGUCGGGAUUAGUUAGUUGGUGAGGUAAUGGCUCACCAAGACCGCGAUCCGUAACUGGUCUGAGAGGAGGAACAGGCACACUGGGACGGAGACACGGUCCAGACUCCUACGGGAGGCAGCAGUGGGGAAUAUUGGACAAUGGGGGGAACCCUGAUCCAGCCAUGCCGCGUGUGUGAAGAAGGUCUUAGGAUUGUAAAGCACUUUAAGUUGGGAGGAAGAGCAGUUAACUAAUAUUUGACUGUUUUGACGUUACCGACAGAAUAAGCACCGGCUAACUUCUUGCCAGCAGCCGCCGUAA